rnacentral:lncRNA from 1 species
GAAUACAAUAUAUUUAUAUAACUAUCUAUAAUAUAUGUAUAAAGUAUCUGCAUUGAGUUGCAUCUGAAAUAGUAAAAUACUGACAUAUUAAAUCUUUUCCAGGUCAGUUAUCUGUAUUGAAUGGCUGGAGAAUACAAACCUAGUACAAAUGUAUAUAGAGGAAUGAAGAGGCCUCACAUAUAACUGACUGUCAUUGGGUAAUUUUAUUAUUAACAAAAAAUUGAGAAUGGAAAUGGGGAAUGUGUCAAAGAGACAACAACCUGACCAAAGAGUAGAAAACAGCCAAAGACCACCAAUGGAUCUACAACACACUGAGAAAAUCCUACACACAGAGGCAUGCUUCAGCUACCACCUAAACAAAAAUGUGUACUACUCCCCGGAAACAUGUGGUCAAGGUGAUAAUGAAUGUUAUACUAGACUCCAAAAUUAAAAUGAACUAAAAUUAAAAAUCUUAAAAAAAUAACAAAGGCUAGAGACUCCUGACUUGGGACAGGCGCUAAAAUGCGGUGGGGUCAAACAUGUUUUGCAAGAUCUCAACCUAUCCUAAUACCUCUAUAGCUAGCCAUUGUAGAAAAACAAAAACAAUAUGCACAGUAAAUCUCAGUUUUAAAGAAGUCAUAGUCCUACAUUGUAUGUCAGAAUAGGCAAAAUGAUAGGAAAUAAAACAAAAUAAGCAAAAUGACAACUAUACAUAAAUUUACAAAGGACUACUAGCAGUUACUGACAUGUUCCUCAGACAUAUGUGAACUUAACUAAAUGUCAUACACUAUAUGUUUUAUCACUUUUUGACUUUUUUUUAGCACAUGAAAUAUAUAUUGUACCAUGUUUUUUUAAGAUUUUUUUUGUUGGUACCUUAUAAAUACUGGUAGGACAUGAAUUACCAAUAAGAAAAAUAAUUUCUUUGGUUUUAUUCCAAUACAGAUACAUGAAGUCAGACUAAAUGUUUUUGAACCUUGCAUAUCUACUUGAACUUGUUUCAUAGUUUAGCAAAAUUACUUUAUUCAGUAAAAUUUCUAAACAAAUGUAUAGUUUUGUAGACAUUGGCCUCAUAAAAAUUAGAUAUAGGAAGAUGUGGUGUGAGUGCCAAUGAGACAACUCUCCAUCCAAAUAACAAUUUAUAAAAGUAAACCAUUAUAGGUCAAUGUACGGCCUUCAACACAGAGCCUUGGCUCACACCGAACAAAAAGCUAUAAAGGACCCCAAAAUUACUAGUGUAAAACCAUUCAAACAGGAAAACCAACGGUCAAAUUGCAUUUUAUUAAACUUGGUCAAAUUAUAUUUCAGCAAAAGGCUUUGCCAUCCAAUACAUUUCAUCUUGGAUGAAAAAGAACAACAGUCUGAUGAUGGUGACAGGUCAAAUUUACCUAACAGGUAACACAUACAUACAUAACAUAUUUGUUUUAAGGUUUUAAGGCUAUUUAAACAUACAUGCAUGCAUAUUGGGACCAGGGAAGACACUUAGAGAUCCAAAGUUACAAUGUGUGGUUGGGUUAAUUGCAAUGAAAAUGUUAGUGAAAUUCUCAAUUGGCUUCUAUCAGUUGUAACCCUAUUAUGAAUGUGUUUUCCUGUGUACAAUGUGUGAUUAAAAGUAAGAGCCUAAGGCUUUAUAAUGCAUACUCCUUUUUAUUGCUUAAGUUUAAAUUUAACAAUAUUAACUAUAGUUGAAAAAUCUGUAUUUUUCAUCUGUUUUAUUUAUCCUUCCAUGGAUGGGCACUUGUUGUUUAACCUACAUGUACAUUAUUGUUAUGUUAGUUUAGUAAAUUAUUAAUAAUGGAUUAAACCCAGAUUUUGGUUAAAUAUAGCCUCCUUUUGUUGUGCUUGAUAUCCUGAUUUUUUUUAUAUAUUAAGAUAAGUAAGUUAACACUUAUAGACAUACUCCAACAAAUAUAAUAUUUUUUAACAACCAGUAUAUAUUUUAAAUGGAGAGCGUUGAAAGAGAGAGUCGAAAAAAAACAAUGCACAAAAACCAGAACAAAUUGAAACAAAUGCAUGACACAAGUGUGUUGAAAAACAAAAGGAAUGUUUCUCUGUUUAACGAGUUAUUGUAUGGACUACAAACACAAUACAAACCCUCUUAAAACCCAGGUUAUAUCAGGUGUUAAGAGUCAGCAUACACUGCUUGUAUAUGAUUUAUAGUUCAUAACAGUCUGUCAUUCUGUACCUCUGUCAAACCUUGUAAAUUAGCCAUACUUGGUAUAUAGAAUAAAGAUUAUUUGUACACAAUGAUUUUCAAUGUAAAGUUUCACACUAUAUAGGAAAAUAACUUUGUAUAAUUUUCAUAUUUCUGUUUCCUGUAAACUAGUAACGAUUACCAGUAUAGUUGUAUAGUUCUAAGCAUUUUGUCAAACAUAUAAACUUGUAAUAAUAUUCCCUGAACAUUUUGGUACAGGAUUGUGGGUAAAACUCUUAAAAUAUAAAUAUUUCUGUAACAAUUGUACAUGUAAUAACAAUUAACCACUUCAUGAUAUCCAUUACCAAAAAUGUUGUAUAGUCUGAUUAUAACCACAGAAUUUACUUUGCUUUUCAGAUACUAGUGAAGAAAUAAAGAAACAAGAGUAGACACCAUUUGACCAACUGUGCUUACAAUACUUGUGCAACAGUUGUGAUUGAUGUCCAUAUUACAUUGUAGUAUGAUAAUACUUUACAGCAUCAA